GACGAACGCUGGCGGCGUGCCUAAUACAUGCAAGUUGAGCGCUGAAGGUUGGUACUUGUACCAACUGGAUGAGCAGCGAACGGGUGAGUAACGCGUGGGGAAUCUGCCUUUGAGCGGGGGACAACAUUUGGAAACGAAUGCUAAUACCGCAUAAAAACUUUAAACACAAGUUUUAAGUUUGAAAGAUGCAAUUGCAUCACUCAAAGAUGAUCCCGCGUUGUAAUAGCUAGUUGGUGAGGUAAAGGCUCACCAAGGCGAUGAUACAUAGCCGACCUGAGAGGGUGAUCGGCCACAUUGGGACUGAGACACGGCCCAAACUCCUACGGGAGGCAGCAGUAGGGAAUCUUCGGCAAUGGACGAAAGUCUGACCGAGCAACGCCGCGUGAGUGAAGAAGGUUUUCGGAUCGUAAAACUCUGUUGGUAGAGAAGAACGUUGGUGAGAGUGGAAAGCUCAUCAAGUGACGGUAACUACCCAGAAAGGGACGGCUAACUACGUG
rnacentral:rRNA from 1 species